rnacentral:rRNA from 1 species
GACGAACGCUGGCGGCGUGCUUAACACAUGCAAGUCGAGCGGAAAGGCCCUGCUUGCAGGGUACUCGAGUGGCGAACGGGUGAGUAACACGUAGGUGAUCUGCCCUGCACUUCGGGUUAAGCCUGGGAAAGUGGGUCUAAUACCGGCUAGGAGCCAUUUUGAGUGUGAUGGUUGGAAAGUUUUUUCGGUGUAGGAUGAGCUGGCGGCCUAUCAGCUUGUUGGUGGGGUAAUGGCCUACCAAGGCGGCGACGGGUAGCCGGACUGUGAGGGUGGCCGGCCACACUGGGUCCGAGAGGAGGCAGCGACUCCUACGGGAGGACGAAGGGCGGAAUACUGAACAAUGGGCGCAGGCUUGAUGAAGAGAGGCUUCGUGGGGGAUGACGCUCUUAGUGUUGAAGAAUCCUUGUGCUAGGAACGAAGCUUGUUUUGACGGUACCUAGAGAAGAAGCACCGGCUAACUACGUG